rnacentral:rRNA from 1 species
GAUGAACGCUGGCGGCGUGCCUAAUACAUGCAAGUCGAGCGAACGGACGAGAAGCCUGCUUCUCUGAUGUUAGCGGCGGACGGGUGAGUAACACGUGGAUAACCUACCUAUAAGACUGGGAUAACUUCGGGAAACCGGAGCUAAUACCGGAUAAUAUUUUGAACCGCAUGGUUCAAAAGUGAAAGACGGUCUUGCUGUCACUUAUAGAUGGAUCCGCGCUGCAUUAGCUAGUUGGUAAGGUAACGGCUUAUCAAGGCAACGAUGCAUAGCCGACCUGAGAGGGUGAUCGGCCACACUGGAACUGAGACACGGUCCAGACUCCUACGGGAGGCAGCAGUAGGGAAUCUUCCGCAAUGGGCGAAAGCCUGACGGAGCAACGCCGCGUGAGUGAUGAAGGUCUUCGGAUCGUAAAACUCUGUUAUUAGGGAAGAACAUAUGUGUAAGUAACUGUGCACAUCUUGACGGUACCUAAUCAGAAAGCCACGGCUAACUACGUG